rnacentral:rRNA from 1 species
AUUGAACGCUGGCGGCAGGCCUAACACAUGCAAGUCGAGCGGAUGAAGGGAGCUUGCUCCUGGAUUCAGCGGCGGACGGGUGAGUAAUGCCUAGGAAUCUGCCUGGUAGUGGGGGAUAACGUCCGGAAACGGGCGCUAAUACCGCAUACGUCCUGAGCGAGAAAGAGGGGGAUCUUCGGACCUCACGCUAUCAGAUGAGCCUAGGUCGGAUUAGCUAGUUGGUGGGGUAAAGGCCUACCAAGGCGACGAUCCGUAACUGGUCUGAGAGGAUGAUCAGUCACACUGGAACUGAGACACGGUCCAGACUCCUACGGGAGGCAGCAGUGGGGAAUAUUGGACAAUGGGCGAAAGCCUGAUCCAGCCAUGCCGCGUGUGUGAAGAAGGUCUUCGGAUUGUAAAGCACUUUAAGUUGGGAGGAAGGGCAGUAAGUUAAUACCUUGCUGUUUUGACGUUACCAACAGAAUAAGCACCGGCUAACUACGUG